GAUGAACGCUGGCGGCGUGCCUAAUACAUGCAAGUCGAGCGAACAGACGAGGAGCUUGCUCCUCUGACGUUAGCGGCGGACGGGUGAGUAACACGUGGAUAACCUACCUAUAAGACUGGGAUAACUUCGGGAAACCGGAUCUAAUACCGGAUAAUAUAUUGAACGGCAUGGUUCAAUAGUGAAAGACGGUUUUGCUGUCACUUAUAGAUGGAUCCGCGCCGCAUUAGCUAGUUGGUAAGGUAACGGCUUACCAAGGCAACGAUGCGUAGCCGACCUGAGAGGGUGAUCGGCCACACUGGAACUGAGACACGGUCCAGACUCCUACGGGAGGCAGCAGUAGGGAAUCUUCCGCAAUGGGCGAAAGCCUGACGGAGCAACGCCGCGUGAGUGAUGAAGGUCUUCGGAUCGUAAAACUCUGUUAUUAGGGAAGAACAAAUGUGUAAGUAACUAUGCACGUCUUGACGGUACCUAAUCAGAAAGCCACGGCUAACUACGUG
rnacentral:rRNA from 1 species